rnacentral:rRNA from 1 species
CCGUCAAUUCCUUUGAGUUUCAGCCUUGCGGCCGUACUCCCCAGGUGGAACACUUAAUGCUUUUGCUUAGCCGCUGACUGUGUAUCGCCAACAGCGAGUGAUCAUCGUUUACGGCGUGGACUACCAGGGUAUCUAAUCCUGUUCGAUCCCCACGCUUUCGUGCAUCAGCGUCAGUAUUGGCCCAGCAAGCUGCCUUCGCAAUCGGUGUUCUGUGUAAUAUCUAAGCAUUUCACCGCUACAUUACACAUUCCGCCUACCUUGACCAUACUCAAGACUAACAGUAUCAACGGCACAUCUACAGUUAAGCUGCAGGGUUUCACCACUGACUUAUUUGUCCGCCUACGCACCCUUUAAACCCAAUAAAUCCGGAUAACGCUCGCAUCCUCCGUAUUACCGCGGCUGCUUGGCACGGAGUUAGCCGAUGCUUAUUCCCAGGGUACCGUCAAACCCUGACACGUCAAGGCUGUUCGCCCCCUGGAAAAGCAGUUUACAACCCAUAGGGCCGUCUUCCUGCACGCGGGAUGGCUGGUUCAGGCUUCCGCCCAUUGACCGAUAUUCCUCACUGCUGCCUCCCG